GUGGGGAAUAUUGCACAAUGGGCGCAAGCCUGAUGCAGCAACGCCGCGUGAGGGAUGACGGCCUUCGGGUUGUAUACCUCUUUUAGUAGGGAAGAAGCGUAAGUGACGGUACCUGCAGAAAAAGCACCGGCUAACUACGUGCCAGCAGCCGCGGUAAUACGUAGGGUGCAAGCGUUGUCCGGAAUUAUUGGGCGUAAAGAGCUCGUAGGCGGCUUGUCGCGUCUGCCGUGAAAACCCAGGGCUCAACUCUGGGCGUGCGGUGGGUACGGGCAGGCUAGAGUGCGGUAGGGGAGAUUGGAAUUCCUGGUGUAGCGGUGGAAUGCGCAGAUAUCAGGAGGAACACCGAUGGCGAAGGCAGAUCUCUGGGCCGUAACUGACGCUGAGGAGCGAAAGCAUGGGGAGCGAACAGGAUUAGAAACCCGAGUAGUCC
rnacentral:rRNA from 1 species